UACUGUUUGGCAAUAAAAAGCAAUGAAGUUCUGAUACACUCUACCACGAGUGAACCUUGAAAUCAUCAUGCUAAGUGAAAGAAGUCAGUCACGAAAGACCACGCCUGUGUUACUCAGUGAAGAUAAAGGUUUAAAAAUUCUAAAAUCCUUAGAAGAGACUUGUAUAAAGGAAACUGAAAAUGCCUGACUAUGGAGUCACCAAUUUAGAGACUAAAAGAAACUUUGGGUUUUCAGUGGCAAAGGGAGAAAGAGAAAGAAGGAUUUCAGCACGCCUGGAAAUGGCAGGAAGUGUAAGAAAAUCUGGAAUCCAGGAACAUUUAAUCACGCCACAUUAUGAGGUCACUCUCUCUGGAUCAGGGACCAGCAAGCUAGCCGGCACAUGCUCUUCUCAGGUGAUGGCAGAGGUGCAAGAGGGCAAACAGAAAUAUGCGAGGCCUUACAAAGCCUAGGCUUGGAGCUCACGUACUGUCACUUCAG
rnacentral:lncRNA from 1 species